GCCCCAGUGGCCUAAUGGAUAAGGCACUGGCCUCCUAAGCCAUGGAUUCAAGUCCCAUCUGCGGUG